GCAGAACGCGAAGAACCUUACCUGGGUUUGACAUGGCCGCAAAACUGUCAGAGAUGGCAGGUCCUUCGGGGGCGGUCACAGGUGGUGCAUGGCUGUCGUCAGCUCGUGUCGUGAGAUGUUGGGUUAAGUCCCGCAACGAGCGCAACCCUCGUUCGAUGUUGCCAGCGCGUUAUGGCGGGGACUCAUCGAAGACUGCCGGGGUCAACUCGGAGGAAGGUGGGGAUGACGUCAAGUCAUCAUACCCCUUAUGUCCAGGGCUUCACGCAUGCUACAAUGGCCGGUACAAUGGGCUGCGAUACCGUGAGGUGGAGCGAAUCCCAAAAAGCCGGUCUCAGUUCGGAUCGGGGUCUGCAACUCGACCCCGUGAAGUCGGAGUCGCUAGUAAUCGCAGAUCAGCAACGCUGCGGUGAAUACGUUCCCGGGUCUUGGACACACCG
rnacentral:rRNA from 1 species